rnacentral:lncRNA from 1 species
UUCAAGCCUGAGGGUCUCUAUGAAUUGAUCAUCAACCAUCUGAGGGUAGGGGUUCCAAUUAGGGUUUCUUGAUUCUUCAAAGGUCUUGAGCAUCAUCUUAUCUGCAAGGAUAUAUUACCAUCAUCAUGGUUCUAUCAUCAUCAAGGGUUUCAGAGUUCAUCCUCGAGUUCCUCUGGAUUAGGGUUGUGACCUCUGGUCAACCCUAACCAAUGCAGUUCUUCCAACUAGGGUUUCUCAAAGAGAUGAGGUAUUUUCUUGGGAUGAGGAUCACAUGAUUAUUGUAA